rnacentral:tRNA from 1 species
UGCGGGAUAGUGGAAUGGUUCCAUGUUAGCCUCAUAAGCUAAAGAAGCCGGUUCAAAUCCGGCUCCCGCUA